GUCUAUAGCCAUGCCACCCUGAACAAGCCCAAUCUCGUCUGAUCUCGGAAGCUAAGCAGAGUCAGACCUGGUUAGUACUUGGAUGGGAGACCACUUAGGAAGACCAGGUGCUGUAGGCG
rnacentral:rRNA from 1 species